CAUUACAUCAGUUAUUAUUUAUUUGAUAAUCCAAAGUUACAUGGAUAACCGUGACAAAUUACAGCUAAUACAUGCAGUCAGACCUGGUCCAAGGGUCGUAAUUAUUAGUAUUAAACCAUUUCCGAAAGGAGUGUGAUGAAUCAUAAUAAUCGAACGAAUCGCUUGGUGUGCGAUAAAUCAUUCAAGUUUCUGCCCUAUCAGCUUUGGAUGGUAGUGUAUUGGACUACCAUGGCAGUCACGGGUAACGGAGAAUUAGGGUUCGAUUCCGGAGAGGGAGCCUGAGAAACGGCUACCACAUCUACGGAAGGCAGCAGGAGCGAAAAUUGCCCAAUCCUGACACGGGGAGGCAGUGACAAGAAAUAACACCUCUAGGUUAUUCUUAGAAGUGUAAUGAGGA
rnacentral:rRNA from 1 species